rnacentral:rRNA from 1 species
UGUACUUGAAACCCAAAGAAUUUGGCGGGAUUUUAUUCUUUAAGAGGAACCUGUCCUGUAAUUGAUAAUCCACGAUAGGAGUUACUUGUUUUUGUAUUCAUUUUGUAUACCUCCGACAUCAGAGUAUCCUUUUAGGGAUAAAUAUUCUUAAUAUAUAAAUUAUUGUAUGUCAGGUCAAGGUGCAAUUUAUAGAUAAGUAGAGAUGGGUUACAAUAAAUUUAUUUAAACGGAUUAUUAUUUUUAAUAUUAAUAUGAAGGCGGAUUUAAAAGUAAAAUUAUUUUAUUUAUUAAUUUGAUUAUAGCUCUAAAAUAUGCACACAUCGCCCGUCGCUCUUAUUUUAAAAUAAGAUAAGUCGUAACAUAGUAGGAGUACCGGAAGGUGUUCCU